UUAAGCACAAUUGCCCCUUCAUCUAAGUCUAUGCUGACUACUUGAAAUCACCUUCUUGUCCUUCAUAUGUUUGGAAAUGGUUUCUGGGCUUAUUUGUUCCAUCACCCUUCCAGGGACUGAGGUGAGGCUGACUAGCCUACGUUUCAUCAGAUCCUCCUUCCUGCCCUUCUUGAAGUUAAGCGUGACAUUUGCUUUCUUCAAGUCCUCAGGAACCUCUGCCAGUCACCACGACCUUUCGAAGAUAAUCAAGAGUGGCCUUGCAAUGAUACUGGCCACCUCCCUCAGCCCUUGUGUGUGUAUCCCAUCAGAUCCCAUGGACUACGUACGUCCAGGUUGUUUAAAGAUCCCUAACCUGAUCCUCCUCCACCAAGGUUCAGGUUCCAGAUUCUCCAAACAAGAGUGCUCAACUACUUACUUUAAUAAUACCAUUACUUCAUGACCUUAUGAAAGAUUCCUCAUGGGCAACAGCAGAGAAAAACGAAAGAGGGUGCAGAAUGGGAAGAAAAACUAAGAUGCUGCUGACAGAAAAUGUGCAGAUGUCAUGACAAAAAAUACAAGUUACUUAUUUUUACAGUACCAUUAUUAACAAUUUGUCCUAAUGCACAAUUCUUUUCUACUGUUGGAAACUGAGAUGGGUCAUUGUUUCAAGUAUAUCAAUGAUACCAUGUUCUAAAUGAAAACAGUAAAAGUUUAUUAAAGACGUUAUUUCUGUAAUUGCAUUUUUCAAAAGUAAAGGACAAUUUUACAAAUCAUGUGAUUCCAAAGGUGACUCCUUAAUUUGCUCAGAGUUAGGAUAAGAAAGGAAAUGUUAUAAGUUACAUAGGAAUAUCUAAAGAUAUCACAUCAGAAAAAAACUGUUGAAAAGUAACAGUUACCACAAAAUACCAUGGUUUAUGUAUUUGUGAAUUUUAAAAACUGUACAUACCUCCUGUUGCAACUCUUCAAUACAUUUGGUUUUAUUUUCCACCUGUUUCUUUAUAUUAUUCAACUAAAAGAGAUAUUUCAAACAUUAAUUAAUAAACUCCUAAAAAAUUACGCACUGUGUUAGAGAUUACUGUCAAUGUUCUUAAACAUGCAUAUGCACGAGUCUGAUUAAUUCUAAUCGGACUGAAACACAUGCUAACGUGUUACAAUGAUCGGAGUUUUAACUGUAAAGUACUACAAGAAUUUUGCUAGCCCAAUGUCACCAACAUUAAUAGCAAUGAACCAAUUCCUCAGUGGUUGUAGAGUUUAGAAAGAAGGAGGAAAAAAGAAAAAAAAAAAAAAAAAAAAACUUUGCAAUUUAAAAAAAACCAACCUUGUAUGAAGUUCUCCCCAGUCCAUGACAAAAAAUGAAUUUUCAUACCUUAUUUUCUAAAAUCUUCAACUGCUUUUCCUUUCUUGAAAUUUCAUUUUCAAUACUCUUAGCCUGGAAUUAUAAUUGUAAAUAUUUCACUUCUACAAUAAAAUUUUGAAAUCCAUUAUGAUAUUUAAAAAAAAAAAACAGGUAUGCUCUGAAACUACAGUAAGAAAGUAAAAAUAUUUGAACAUAUUUAAACUAAAACUCAUAUUACAUAUUGAAAGCUAAUCCAUACCCCAUCCGUCACUAAGUGGGUAUACAGAAGCUAAAAAAAAGAGGGUUCUCUGCCUGAAAUCUAACAAAUCUGGACUUUUAAGCCUUCAUGUAAAGAGUAAACAUCCCAGUGAAGGUCCUUGUCUUUUAUUUUAAAAGGGCUCAGCCAUGUGUACAUGUGUUGACUCAAUUGGUAGCAGCACUGAAAGAAGAAAGCCUCUGUAAGAGAUUACAUCCCCAGGUAGAGCUUUGCAGAAAAAGAAAAAGAAAAGAAAAACAAAGAAGUUUUACAUUUAGAUUUUGUCCUACAUGUUAUAUUAUAUAUUUUCAUGAUAAAGCACAUGAUAUGGCAUACAUUUUCUUCUCUUUCAUCCAGUUUACUUUUAAUCUCUUCACCGUUCUUUACCAUCUUCUCCUUCAAAGACUCCAGUUCAUUUCUAAAUGCCAAGUUAACAAGCAUUAGUAAAUAUUUACUUAAUAACUUUACCUUCUUUUCACUACUGCUAAAUAAACCCAUACUUUAUUUUCUAAAAAGAGCUGCUAAUAUUGAUGAGAACUUCAUACACUGUUCAAUGGAAAUGUUCUUAAAAUGAUGCAAAGUGACUGGUAAGUUAAUAUCUGACCUGUAUAUACUUUUUUGUAAUUAUGGAAAGAUGUUCCCCUUACCUGAGUAAAGUAUAUUCUAAUCUGUAAUAUCGUAAUGCAUCUAUGAAACAUGGAAGGCUGUCUGUCUAUUGGGUUGUUGGUACAUAGACUACUUCAGAGAGUAACAUUUAACCAGUUUCACCUUUUCACAUUUAAUCCAUAACCUUUAACUUCUUAUUUUCAUUUCCUUCACAUCUAAGAUGUUAAUGCAGAACAGGAUCGCUCUCUGUAUGUAAUAUGAAGCUAGGGCAAAAAUGGUUCCUGUAACAAUUGGUAUCACUAAUUUGUAGAAACUUCUACAUGGCCAACAUCAAUACUAAAUAGUUUCUGUUUAGCUAUAUAACCUAAAAAACCCCAUUAAACUAAAAAUCACAGAAAGCAGCAUAUGAACACAACAUUCAGACUAACUGUGAAGGAAUGGAGUCUACUUCCUUUAAUAAUAUUGUAUAUUAGUAUUUAUUUUUACUUGCCUUAGCUGGCCAUUUGCUUCUUCCAGGUUUUCAACUAGCUGCUUUGCAUUUUCUUCUUUUUUUCUACUAUCCUAAAUAAAGACCCACAUAAGUAAAAUGAAUAAAAUUCAAAGUCACAUCUUAAAAAAUUCGAAGACAUCUUAAGCAAUAUCUUGACCUGCCUUAUUCGCACAAAAAAUACUUCAGAUACUCUACAGAACCAUGUCAUAUUGCAGUUUACCAUAUGAUUUGUAUUUUAAAUUGAGUGUUGUCCUUUAAAACCAGCUGGAAGUUUACAACUUGCCUCGUGACUUUCUUGCAGUUUCUUGAGUUCUGUAGCCAUACCACUUUUCUCUUGUGCUAUUUGUUCCUUUUCUAAUAAAAGCUUAUUGAUAUA